AUACCGGGAUUCACCAUGGCAACGGGUAAAUCCAGAGCACAGCCUCCAUUUUAACCCGGAGGAUCCGUGUGGCGCGUGACGGGAGGAAAGAGUCAUUUUCAUCAGCUCGUCCCUCCGUCAUCAUCACAGACUGAAUAAAGAUGAAGCUGAAUCCUAAUCUUAAUCUAAUGAUGGGCUCUAAGCCGGCAGGACAGAAAGAAGAUCAAAUGUGGAGAAAUCAGUUCUCUGACGGAGCUGUGUGUCAGUGACAGCCGCAGAUCUGACCUCAGGUCCUUUGAAAUAAUCACGGCGGGAAAAUGAAGCCAUUACGAACGGAUCCGGAUGGGAUGAGCUGGGAAGUGAGCGGAGCCUGAACCGGAUCUGAUCCCGAUCCGUCCGGCUCCUCCUGCUGUGCAGGCGGACUCGGAUUUCUGAUCCGUUACAGAGCCGGUGAUCCCAUCGGGCGGAUCCGGCGAUUUUCAGUGGA